rnacentral:lncRNA from 1 species
CUUUUGUAAAUGCUAAUUCAAAAGAUGCUUGGUGCUAUUUUUUAGGAAACUACCCAGUGUUGUUUUAUUACUCUGUUGUUCAAGGAAGCAGGAAGUAUUACAAUCUUGUAAGCAAACUGAAUUGCAAGAAAGAUCCUCAUGCCAAUUUCUUCUCCAAACUAGAUUAACCUGUAAGACCAAUAUUUGUUUUAUUGGCUUCUCAUGUCAAAGAGAUUAGAAAUACAGUGAAAAAUUGCAGCAUUUAAAAAAAAAAAUUACCUCAUUAGCAUCUUCUGGAACUAUGAGACCUCUCACAAGAAAUGAACAAUCUCAGCAUGCAGGAGUCACUUUCACCUGUCCAUUUUAUUCUGGACAUUCUUUACAGCCUGGCUGAACUGCUAGUGAAGUCAAGGCCUUUUUCUCCUUUCCUGUAGACCAUCUCCACUGAAUGAGGCAGUUG